rnacentral:rRNA from 1 species
UACAGAGGUCUCAAGCGUUGUUCGGAUUCAUUGGGCGUAAAGGGUGCGUAGGCGGCGCGGUAAGUCGGGUGUGAAAUCUCGGAGCUUAACUCCGAAACUGCAUUCGAUACUGCCGUGCUUGAGGACUGGAGAGGAGACUGGAAUUUACGGUGUAGCGGUGAAAUGCGCAGAUAUCAUUUGGAACGCCAAUGGUGAAAACAGGUCGCUGGGAGUGUGCUGACGCUGAGGCGCGAAAGCUAGGGGAGCAAACGGG